UGGGGAAUAUUGCACAAUGGGCGAAAGCCUGAUGCAGCGACGCCGCGUGAGGGAUGGAGGCCUUCGGGUUGUAAACCUCUUUCGCUCAUGGUCAAGCCGCAACAUGUGGUUGUGGUGAGGGUAGUGGGUAAAGAAGCGCCGGCUAACUACGUGCCAGCAGCCGCGGUAAUACGUAGGGCGCGAGCGUUGUCCGGAAUUAUUGGGCGUAAAGGGCUUGUAGGCGGUUGGUCGCGUCUGCCGUGAAAUCCUCUGGCUUAACUGGGGGCGUGCGGUGGGUACGGGCUGACUUGAGUGCGGUAGGGGAGACUGGAACUCCUGGUGUAGCGGUGGAAUGCGCAGAUAUCAGGAAGAACACCGGUGGCGAAGGCGGGUCUCUGGGCCGUUACUGACGCUGAGGAGCGAAAGCGUGGGGAGCGAACAGG
rnacentral:rRNA from 1 species